GGGGAUUCCAAUCACCCUGGUGUUAAUUGGUCCAAAGAGGAAAUAAUGGAGACAUGAGCACAGAGUUUAUGGAAUAAGUAGAAAGCCCAAGGGAAGAUUUAGUAUUUAAUCUAGUAAUAUGAAAUGAAUCGGAGCAGAUAGAAGUAAAAUAAACCAUAAAUCAGUUGUGAGGUUGUAAUCUAUCUGAUAUAAUAGAGAACAUCAGUAUAAUGCAAAUUAGAUUAUUUAAAACAAAUAAAAGAAAAUGUUGGAAAUGGUUAGGGUGCAUCAGCGGAAUAAUAAUAGCAUUUCAGAAACUUUAAAAAAAGAUAAGUUUUCCGUAGCAAAGGAUGUGGGAGAGGGAUGGGUGGAACAAAGGGAAUAUCUCCGAUUGUGUGUGACCAUAUGAGUUGUAGCAAUGGGAAUUGCAGUUAGGAUCAGAGUGUGCUUUUACCUGUGUAAUGUAUUUCUAAUAGCAUGGUUGUGGAUCACACCCAGCUGGCCAGGCUAUACAAAUAAGAAAAGGAUAAAUGGGCUGAUAUGGUGACAGCAGAAACAUUAAAUAAUGAAUCUUGAAGACUGAUGAUAUAUUUAGUUUAGAAACAGGCACUUCAGCCCACUGAACACGCCAGCCAUCGAUCAUCCGUUCACACAGGUUCCAUGUUAUCACAUUAUCCACUCCUUGCACACUGGGGGCUAUUUACAGAGGUCAAUUAACCUUCAAACCCAUACACCUUUGGGAUGAGGGAGGAAACCAGGAAAUCCGCACAGACACAAGGAGAACGCACAAAUUCCACAUAGCACGUGAAGUCAGGACUGAAUCUGGAUCUCACAUUGAGGCAGAAGCUCUACCAGCUGUGCCAUUGUGCAGUAACAUGUUUCUCAGGCUUGCAUUGAGUUUUGUUGUAAUAAUGCAGGUCACCUACAGAAAGAUCAGUCUGGGUGUGGGGUAGGAAUUAAAGUGACAGGCUACCAAAAGCUCAGGUUCACUGCUGUGGAUUAAAUGCAGGUGUUCCAUGAAGUGACCAUCUACCAUUGUGCGCAUCAAAUGCAGCACACUAUAUUGGAAUUGCUGCUUCAUUUUGAAAGACAGCAGAUCAGUUUAGUUUACUGUCACGUAUACUGAGGUACAGUGAAAAGCUUUUUAUUGCGUGCUAACCAGUCAGCACAAUACAUGAUUACAACCGAUCCAUUUGUGGUGUAUAGAUACGUGAUAAGGGAAUGAAGUUUAGUGCAAGGUAAAGCCAGUAGGAAAGAGAUGAAGGGAUAGUUGGUGAAUCUGCUCUGGUGGCAUUGGAGUGUUUAAGAAAGAACUAGUCUGCAGAGAGGUCUUGACCCGAAACGUCACCUAUUCCUCCGCUCCAGUGAUGCAGCCUCGCCCACUGAGUUUCUGCAGCAUUUUUGUCUACCUUCGAUUUUCCAGCAUCUGCAGUUCCUUCUUAAACAUUUUGUCUAUUCCACUGCAAAAUCUCCUCAAGGUAUGCCUACUUUGAAGUUCUCCUCCCUCCGACAUCAGUCUGAAGAAGGGUUUCGGCUCGAAACAUUGCCUAUUUCCUUCGCUCCAUAGAUGCUGCCUCACCCACUGAGUUUCUCCUGCAUUUUUGUCUACCCAAAAAGGAAUUAUCCCUUUGAAAUACUGAAGAGAUGGAUAUGAAUUUGGUGGUGCCUUGUCAGAGAUGAUAGAGAUUGAGAAUCUAUUGAAUGCAGAGUUAUUAGAGUGGAAGGUAAAGAUGACAGAUCUCUGUCUGGGAGGAAUAAUGCUGAAAAUAGAGGUGUGGGAAAUGUAUGAGGUGUGGUCAAGGUCUCCACCAUGACAGAGAGAAAGACAUGCUGUUUAUUUCAUAUUGUGUGUUGCAAAGCAGUGCCAGUGCAUCCUGUUGGUCCUGCGACAUGUCCUUCUCAUCUACUGUACGGGUGAAAGCUGUUAGCCCCGCUGUUAGGAGCUUUAAUACCUUUUGGAGUUUGACAUCCAUGCCUCUAACUCCUACUCCGAUAUGUUUCCAUAUGCAAUUGUUUUGGCCAGUCUUGUCUGGCUGUAUGAAGUUGGACACCAUGUCCAGUAGAUUUUCACGUUCCUGCACCCCCUGCACACUUGAUUUCUCUUCUGCAAACCCCUCUUCAGGAUCAGCCCAGAACUGACCCCCAGUACUCCCCUCUGACGAGGAGGAUGCACUGUGCAGCCCUACAAGAGGUGCUGCUGUGGGUUUUACAUAGUGCCCACAGUAACUUGACUCCAUCUCCCGGAGCCUGUCACGUUGGAGCAAAUGCUCCACACAAUGCUCCAUCCGGCUCCAGCGCUCACGGUCGCUGGCCGCUCGCAGCUGCUCAAAGUCGGACUCAUCUGAGUCCACGACUUUGUUGGUUUUUUGUUUUGCCUUACCGCCCGGCCACGGAGUGGAUCUGGCCGGUGCGGAGGCGACAUCGGGCACAGCCGAUCCCAUUAUAGGUGAUUCUUGUGCUGCUGCUGGCUGCCCGCUACUCCGCGGUCCUCCCCCACCAGCUUUGUCGCAGCCCUCGUUGUUUUCUUCGACUUGUCCAUGCUCCCCACCUGUAAAUCAGUAUGGGAAAACACAAAAAGACCGCAGAGUAACUCUUACCUGCAGGUUCCGGCUUUUAAACUGCCGCUGCGGGGGAACGUCGUUCCACCCCGCCUGACUGUUUCGCAAUGCGUGUAGCGAUAUGACACGCAUGCGUCCUGGUGGGGUUCUUCACGUAGCCACUCGCGUGACUCCGAAGUAAAAUCAAUAUUUUCUUUGAGCUAUACCAGCAAAGUGGAACAGCUGGAUGAGGCAUUGGGUAGUGAGAUGACUAAUUAAAUAAAUCGAUUCAGAAUAUAAAACAAUAUAGCACAAGAAGAGUUCCCUUUAGCCCACCAUCUGUGUGAGGACCGUGAACCUUAUCUGCCUGCCCAUGGCCAAACCCCACUUUUCUCUGCCCCUUCUUGUGUCUGUCUGUUACACGGAUUGAUUGUACUACUUAAUUUAAUAGCCAAAUUACAGAGUUACCUACUGAGAAAAGAGCAUCGCAUGUAAGUGUCCCACAAUUUUGCAUGACUAAAUCACAGCAAAGACUCCUGUGUGUCAUUCGCACUCAUUUGUGAAAGGUCUUGGAUAAGCUGGUGACCUGAUAGAUCUCCUGAACCCCUGGGGAAAGCUUACUUUGAUCUUUCAUGGUUUAAAUUGCUC